GGGGUUGUGGCUCAGUGGUAGAGUUCGUGCUUAGCAAGUUCGAGGCCCUGGGUUCGAUCCUCAGCAUCACAU
rnacentral:tRNA from 1 species